rnacentral:rRNA from 1 species
AGUCAUAUGCUUGUCUCAAAGAUUAAGCCAUGCAUGUAUAAGUACAGCUAAAUUAAAGUGAAACCGCGAAAGGCUCAUUAAAUCAGUUUUGGUUUAGUUGACCACACGUUUCCUACUUGGAUAACUGUGGUAAUUCUAGAGCUAAUACAUGCUAACAGAGCUCCGACCAUAAUUUAUGGCAAGAGCGCUUUUAUUAGAAAUAAAAACCUAUGGUAGCAAUACCAUAUAAUAUAGAUGAAACAAAAUAACUGCCUGAUCGCACGGUCAAGCACCGGCGACAUGUCUUUCAAAUGACUGCCUUAUCAACUAAAGUUGGUAGUUUUUACGCCUACCACGGUUGUUACGGGUAACGGGGAAUCAGGGUUCGAUUCCGGAGAGGGAGCCUGAGAAACGGCUACCACAUCUAAGGAAGGCAGCAGGCACGCAAAUUACCCAUUCCCAGCACGGGGAGGUAGUGACGAAAAAUAACGAUACGGGACUCAUCCGAGGCCCCGUAAUCGGAAUGAGUACACUUUAAAUCCUUUAACGAGGAUCUAUUGGAGGGCAAGUCUGGUGCCAGCAGCUGCGGUAAUUCCAGCUCCAGUAGCGUAU